GUUCCACAAGAAUACUCUAAUGAUAGAUAAAAAGUUCUGUUAAAGUGAAUGAAAAAUUACAUAAAAUCUAGUAAACGGAGUUGCAUUUUCCAUGGCCUGUCUAUAAUAAUGAUGCCAGGAAAUAAUCUAAUGCUGAUUUUUGAGCCAUCUCAAAUGUGAAACCUACGUGUAAAAAUACAAAAACAAAGACCUGAAAAAAUGGUGGAUAGAACAUUGAGGACAGAGCAUAUACUCGACUCAGCUAGACGUCAUCUCCAAAUAGACCUGGUCAGUGGGCAGGGUGGGG
rnacentral:misc_RNA from 1 species